AGCAGCCGCGGUAAUUCCAGCUCCAAUAGCGUAUAUUAAAGUUGUUGCAGUUAAAAAGCUCGUAGUUGAAUUUCGGGGUUAGCAAGUUGGUCGUGCCUUUGGUAUGCACUGGCUUUGCUGAUUCCUCCUUCUUGAAGAACUGUGAUGCUAUUAAUUUGGUGUUGCAGGGAAACAGGACUGUUACUUUGAAAAAAUUAGAGUGUUUAAAGCAGGCUAACGCUUGAAUACAUUAGCAUGGAAUAAUGAAAUAGGACGUUUGAUCCUAUUUUGUUGGUUUCUAGGAUUGACGUAAUGAUUAAUAGGGAUAGUUGGGGGCAUUAGUAUUCAAUUGUCAGAGGUGAAAUUCUUGGAUUUAUUGAAGACUAACUACUGCGAAAGCAUUUGCCAAGGAUGUUUUCAUUAAUCAAGAACGAAAGUUAGGGGAUCGAAGACGAUCAGAUACCGUCGUAGUCUUAACCAUAAACUAUGCCGACUAGGGAUCGGAUGAUGUUAAUUUUUAAUGACUCAUUCGGCGUCCG
rnacentral:rRNA from 1 species